CCUGUACAGGUGACGGUGUAGUAGUGACCCUGUUAGCUGUACAGGUGAGGUUUGCCGUACCUGUCUCCACUCUGGACUCCCAUGGGAAUGCAGUAGUUGAGCUCCAGUCGGGCGAUGUUGCCCAGGCGCAGUAAGAUCCCCGCUCCGUAUGACCAGCGGAUGCACUCCGCCAACUUCCGCAGGUGUGCCUGCGGCCCCUCACCUGAGAACGCAGACACAUGCAGACGCACACACACACACACACACACACACACACACACAGACAGACACACACACAAUGACUCUUGUCCAUCUUUUCAGUGACUGAGGUCCAAAUGUAUUUGCAUCUUUACAUUGUUAUGGCAAGUGUAAUUAUUAUAGUUGUGAUUUGUCAGGAGAACUAGGUGCUUCUAGUUUAUAUUGGUUGGUAUUUACUGUAUUAUUACUUUCGGGUUUGGGUUUAAAAACUUGCCUUAGGGUGCAAUAAAAGUAUUUAGGAUUUAAAGUGGAACCCUGCAUGGUUACACAGGUACGCACCCUAAUUCAGAUUACACAGGUACGCAUCCUAAUUCAGGUUACACAGGUACGCACCCUAAUUCAGAUUACACAGGUACGCAUCCUAAUUCAGGUUACACAGGUACACACCCUAAUUCAGGUUACCCAGGUACGCACCGUAAUUCAGGUUACACAGGUUGCCAGCAUUGAGGAAGAAAUGCGUCCUGAAGAGGUCGCCGAAUCCACCGCGUCCCGGGCGGAAGGGCAGGGGGGUGUAGAGGUGCACCCCGCCCGCCCAAUAGGCCUCCCCGCCCAGGUAGUCACCUGCAACGCCAGAGAACAGGUGUGACCUUCUACCCUUCAUCCUCCCCUGCACUCUGACCUUCUUCCCAUCAUCCUCCCCUGCACUCUGACCUUCUACCCAUCAUCCUGCCCUGCACUCUGACCUUCUACCCAUCAUCCUGCCCUGCACUCUGACCUUCUUCCCAUCAUCCUCCCCUGCACUCUGACCUUCUUCCCAUCAUCCUCCCCUGCACUCUGACCUUCUACCCACCAUCCUGCCCUGCAUUCUAUCAAUCCUGGCAUUGGUGUAUGCCUUACAGACAAAUGUGGGGGAAACGCAUCUCUUGCUGUUAGAGAUUUAGGACAGUGUUUUAGCCCAUCUCUUUUAGGUAAAGAGGAAAGGGAGUGAGCUCACCUUCACUCUGCGGGCCGAUGCUGUACAUGCUGAAGCCCCUCACAGUGGUGGGGCCGCCCAGAUAGAACCUGAGACAUUACACAGUUAGCAUCUAGAAUUCACCACAGACCAGUACACUUAGAAUCUAGAAUUCACCACAGACCAUUUCACAGUUAGAUUCUAGAAUUCACCACAGACCAUUACAGUUAGAAUCUAGAAUUCACCACAAACCAUUUCAGUUAGAUUCUAGAAAUCACCACAGACCAUUCCAGUUAGAUUCUAGAAUUAACCACAGACCAUUACAGUUAUAAACUGGAAUUCGCCACCAACCGGACUCACCUGUCGGCGAUGCUGGUGGACUUGUCUCCGAUUGGCAAAAGCACGCCACCCCACAAAGAGACCGAAAGGACCUAAAGGAGGAACUGGAAUGUUCACGUUCUCAAAUUCACAUUACGAAAAAUAAAAUGUAGUUUAUUAUAUUUAAAUUAUUCUAUUUCUGUUCAUUUGGUGAAUGCAGCUUAUUUGAAAUGCAACUGACCUCAACACUGUAAUGGUCCUACCCAGUGCAACCACAGUUCAGUCUCUUUACAAUCAGUCAUUUGGCAGACAGUCUCUUGUGAGAGACUGUCAGUGGUUGCUCAGACACUAAUCUCUCCUGAGUGUGUGUGUGCGAGUGAGUGUGUGUCUUCUCACCGAGUCCCACAGGAGACGUUUGUUCAGCUGGAGCUCAACGUCUUCUUUUAGGAAGCUGGCGUCGCCCCCUGUGUAGCCGGCCAAUUCCUGUGUGCAACACGACCAGUCAGCCGGUAUGUGGUGAGCGUUCUGGCACAAAAUGUCUGCUGUCGCCACGCGCAGUGAUGCGAGCAGAGGGGAAGGUUCUGACCGACAGGGAGGACUUCAGGGAGUGGCCACUCUCCUCUCGGACGGCGAACGACGCGGUCCGCCCCAGGCAGGCCAGCUCCCGCCACACCCCCUCCCACUUCAGCGUGUGAUUGGUCCUCCAUAUCGGGAACUGCGGGAGAGAGGGGCGGGACGCCACACCGUCACCAUAGCAACAAACAACCCCGCCCACAAAUCCAGCGAUGCCCUGAGACAAGGCACUCCAGCUCACGCAGGAGGCCCCGUACUUGCGGUCAAAGUUUCCGGGCUGAGGCUUGAAGAAGGACAGGCCGUAGGACGUCUCCUUCGUGCCGUAGGAGAACUGGAAGGUCAGCUUCUCUGCCCGGCCCAGGAAGUUGGGCAGCUUGAUGCCCAGGACCUACGG